rnacentral:rRNA from 1 species
CACGCCGUAAACGUUGAGAACUAAGUGUUGGGGAGACCCAGUGCUGAAGCUAACGCAUUAAGUUCUCCGCCUGAGGAGUACGCACGCAAGUGUAAAACUUAAAGGAAUUAACGGGGGCCCGCACAAGCAGUGGAGCAUGUGGUUUAAUUCGAGGCUACGCGAAGAACCUUACCAGGGCUUGACAGGAAACUUAAGACCCUAGAGAUAGGGGGAUAAUAAGUGAAACAGGUGG